rnacentral:rRNA from 1 species
GACGAACGCUGGCGGCGUGCCUAAUACAUGCAAGUAGAACGCUGAAGGAGGAGCUUGCUUCUCUGGAUGAGUUGCGAACGGGUGAGUAACGCGUAGGUAACCUGCCUGGUAGCGGGGGAUAACUAUUGGAAACGAUAGCUAAUACCGCAUAAUAGUAGAUGUCGCAUGACAUUUGCUUAAAAGGUGCAAUUGCAUCACUACCAGAUGGACCUGCGUUGUAUUAGCUAGUUGGUGAGGUAACGGCUCACCAAGGCAACGAUACAUAGCCGACCUGAGAGGGUGAUCGGCCACACUUGGAAUGGGACACGGGCCAGACUCCUACGGGAGGCAGCAGUAGGGAAUCUUCGGCAAUGGACGGAAGUCUGACCGAGCAACGCCGCGUGAGUGAAGAAGGUUUUCGGAUCGUAAAGCUCUGUUGUAAGGGAAGAACGAGUGUGAGAGUGGAAAGUUCACACUGUGACGGUAUCUUACCAGAAAGAGACGGCUAACUACGUG